UUUUGUGCGCGGUGGCUUGUGGGACGAACCAUAUAUGGAAGUUCAACUUCCGUCACGUUUGUGUGGUUUGUCUGCGGGCUGCAGCUGGACCCUUCUCAUUUUAUUGGUCCAAAACUGGCUUUACUGCUCUCCAUUCAAAUCAGCGGGGUGGCUUCGUCCAGUAAUAUAUUGUCUAUGGGUAGACAUCAGAGUCGGCAGAUCUCGCGAUAAACAAAUUGGCCAUUUUUAAAUGAGGGGUUACGAUUUCGGCCUUUCAGCGAGCAAUGGGCGAGAGUUUACUGCAAACGCUGGAAGCAAAAAGACAUUUACCUUGGUCUUUUAUGGAUCCCAUUUACCCGAGAGACUGGUGCCAACCAGGAGACCCAUCUGAUGCUCUUGCUACAUCAAGUAGCAGCUUAGAUGAAGAUCUAGUUUUGGAUGCAGCCAGCCCAUUUAUUUUGCCAUUAUUUAUGUUUUUAUUACUGCAUGUUGUUAAAAUUGUUUGUAUUUUCAUAUAAACUGUCUUGUAUUUAUAAUAAUAUUUUAUCAAUAAUUCCUUUACAUUUUCAUCAGUUGUCUACGUUGUAAUCCUUUUUCUUAAUAAAAUCUUUAUAUUUAA